rnacentral:rRNA from 1 species
UACGUAGGGGCUAGCGUUAUCCGGAAUUACUGGGCGUAAAGGGUGCGUAGGUGGUUUCUUAAGUCAGAGGUGAAAGGCUACGGCUCAACCUUAGUAAGCCUUUGAAACUGGGAAACUUGAGUGCAGGAGAGGAGAGUGGAAUUCCUAGUGUAGCGGUGAAAUGCGUAGAUAUUAGGAGGAACACCAGUAGCGAAGGCGGCUUUCUGGACUGUAACUGACACUGAGGCACGAAAGCGUGGGGAGCAAACAGGAUUAGAUACCCCCGUAGUCCCUGAGCGGGCU